UACAGAGGUCCCGAGCGUUGUUCGGAUUCAUUGGGCGUAAAGGGUGCGUAGGCGGUCUGCUAAGUUUGAUGUGAAAUCCCGGGGCUCAACCCUGGAAUUGCAUUGAUACUGGAGAGCUUGAGUCCGGAAGAGGUGAGUGGAACUCCGAGUGUAGAGGUGAAAUUCGUAGAUAUUCGGAAGAACACCAGUGGCGAAGGCGGCUCACUGGUCCGGUACUGACGCUGAUGUGCGAAAGCGUGGGGAGCAAACAGG
rnacentral:rRNA from 1 species